UACGAAGGGGGCUAGCGUUGUUCGGAUUUACUGGGCGUAAAGCGCACGUAGGCGGAUUGGUCAGUUAGGGGUGAAAUCCUGGAGCUCAACUCCAGAACUGCCUUUAAUACUGCCAAUCUCGAGUCCGGAAGAGGUAAGUGGAACUCCUAGUGUAGAGGUGGAAUUCGUAGAUAUUAGGAAGAACACCAGUGGCGAAGGCGGCUACUGGUCCGGUACUGACGCUGAGGUGCGAAAGCGUGGGGAGCAAACAGG
rnacentral:rRNA from 1 species